UUCUCCGUAGUUAUCGUCAUAGAUCACGUUCAAAACCUGCUAAACAAUUUUCAGUACAAUUUGUACUGGCCACUGGCUCCCACCCUAUGCUUUUGCGUAAGCUUUGUGGUAAGUGGAAUGCAAAGGGUAGAUCAAGAGGCCUAUAUAUAUGGCUGUAGUUUUUCCUAUGCAAGUUCAUCAAUAUUUUAUAAUAAUAAUUCAUCAGGUUUU
rnacentral:lncRNA from 1 species